CCGGCAUUUUCUCGUCAGAUUCAACCGUCUCUCAUCUGUCAUAUCCCACGACUGUAGCAAUCAGCGCCGGCAGAUUGGGGAAGGCCGCCCCGCCGGCCGAGCUCGGAUCCCCCUCAUCAAGCAGCCCCAUGAGCACUCUGCUCUAUCUCCCCCUGAUUGCAGCGACCGACGACGAUGGAUUAGAGGAGGCCGCCCCACCGGCCAAGCUCGGAUCCACCGCAUCAACCCUCCCCACGAGCACCCUGCUCUCUUUCCCCACCAGUUGCAGGCAACGGCGAAGGCUCAUGGAUGCCACAACCCGCGAUGGUUAAAGGGCCUGAACCUCUGGCUCUUGCUUUCUUUCCCCAAAGUAAAAAAUUCAUAGGAAGGUCUCUGUGGUGUCCCAGCUCUAAAGCUAAGGGAUCACCAAGAUACAGUGAAGGGAUUUGGGUGAGAAAAGCACCAAUGUCAGGUAGAUGAUAGAGAGUAGGUGAGAUCCAGAGUGGUGGAUGCUGCUAGGCUCACAGGUCCACCAUCCCCUGUCCCACGGGCCUGUGAUUGGUUGUCCGCAUCCGGACAUGGCGCGACAAUCUUUUGCUCAUUGAAGGUCCUAAUUGACGGUUUAGGUCCAACCCGAUGUGCGCAACCGACACAAAUGCUCGAGGUGUCGAUGAUCGCAGUGACUUGGAGUAUGAACCAGAUGCUGAAGAGGAGGCCCAUGUAGAGGAAGAGGUUUUGAGAGAUGAAGAGUAGGUCGCUCUUACUGUGUCCAAAUUAAUGACACCUCAAGAAAGAAUUGAACAGAAGGAUAGAGAGGCAAAAGUUGCAAACGACAGGCAGUGGGAGGAGUUAGCAGAGAUAUUUGAAGCACGAGAUAGAGCAUUUGAAGAGAUGUAGAGGAAGCAUCAAGAAGAAUUGAAAGCUAUGAAGAAGAGCCAACAAAAGAAGAAUGAAGCCUGUGAAAAGAAGCAACAGGGGAUGGAUAACCUGAUUGGUUUCUCUUAAGGGCUCAAGCAAACUCAGCAAACAAAUCUAUCAACCUGGUCGUGCAUGAAGGCCAUCGUUUUGUGAUAGACAAAUAGUUGCUGAGUCAUAUACAUUGCAAUCAUGAGGACAACACAUGUCUUCUUUUAGUUAUCUAAAUAUUACUCCCUCUGUCCCAUAAUAUAAGAGCGUUUUUUGCCACGCUCUUAUAUUAUCGGACGGAGGGAGUACUUCUCGUCUUGUCUAUUGUCGUGUCAAAAUUGAUUUUGUGUUAUUUUAUUGUUAUUUCUAUUUAGAGGAUGAUUCGGCUGAGAUUAUUGAAUAUAUAAUAUGAUUUGUCUUUCAUUUCAA